AUUAAUCAAUAAAAAUUCAAUUUUUUGGUUCUACUCCUGUUGCGUCUUCUUCUUCUUGCCUGGUGAUGAUGACGUCUGCUUGUGGGUUUCAUUUACUGUUCUUUCGCUGUUAAGAAGAUGAAGAAGACGAAGAUGAAGAUGGAGGCCGUAAAAAUUGGUUAGGCCCAAUACAUGACGAAUGGGCCCAAUUUCAAAGCUUAAUUGCUUGAAUUCGUUUUCAGUUUCGUCGCUAGACCACAAUCCCCGUUUCCGUUAUGCUCUAAUGUUUAGCUUGUUUCCUUUCUCCGUCGAUCCGGAAUGCUGCUGCUGAGAUCGUUUCGGCCGAGGGGCAACGAAAUUGUGAAGUUCCAGUUUCAUUCGGCGCAUCCAUGGCUCGUCUCCAUGGAUGCGUCGGACUUUGUCCCCGUUUUGGAAUUAGGAGCAUCGUUAGAUAGUUCAUCACGCAUUCUUGGGUUAUACUAUGUGUAUUCUGUAUGGAAUGGAAUGUAGGAGCAAUUUACUUGAUAAUUUCGAUGUUGUCGAUGUGCUGAUGAUUGUGGGUUCUUCUGAUUUUCGGGUUUCACCAUGUGUGUAUGUGAGCGCAUGUUUUGAUGUGAUGAUGAUCGUGGGUUCUUCUGGUUUUGGGUGAUUCAUGAGCUGAAACGUGUUGAUGAGAGGCGUUUGGGUUGGUGCUAAGUUGGAGAAGCUUGCCGAAAGAAAAUCUCAGGAUGAGCGCGAGCUUGUCUCAUAGAAGCAGGUCUCCAGUCCAUGAGAUGAGCCAAGACAGCAGAAAAUGUUCCUUGAGCCGUAAGAGCAGCAAGAGAUCAUUUGACGGAAUUGAUCUUUUUAAGUCCAAAAGGAAGCAGCAGAUGCAGCAGAACGGGAUCGAUGGGUCGUGCUGCCUGUUGGGCGGACGAUCCACGGGUGGUUCACAGGAUGGAAACUAAGGAAUCAAUAUUUUGAGUCCGAAAGGAAGCAGCAGGUGCAGCAGAACAGGGUCACUUGACGAUGCUGCCUCUUUGGCAGACGAUGACACGGGGGUUCAUAGGAUGGUAGCUAAGGAGUCAAUCUUCUGAGUUCAAAAGGAAGCGGCAGAUACAGCAAACCGGGGUCACUAGAUGGUGCUGCCUUUUUUGGUGGAUGAUGACAUGGAGGGGUUUUCACAGUAUGGGAGCUAAUCUUUCGAGUUCAAAAGGAAGCAGCAGAUACAGCAAAACAAGAACACUAGAUCAUGCUACUUAUUUUGGGAACUAUGACACGGGGGGUUUCAUUGGAUGGGAGCUUCUAUCAGCGGCACGACAGCCAUGGUAUACCAAGAGACCAUACGCUUUCCUUGAAACAAGACAACUGUGAGAGAUUCUGAUGUCAAUUUGAUUCGUUCCAAGCAAUUGAGCUACGAGCAUAUCCACUCAUCAUCAUAAGCUCCCGUCACUUGGUUAUCUUUAUUUAACAUACAGUUUAAGAUCUUCUCUCUUAUGAUCUUGUCGCUACUGAAGACAGGAUGCACAUUCGAUUUUUACGCUCGUUCAAUCAGUCAAGUUCAGUGUCAAAAUGUGAUGCUCUACCAGGAAUAAGCAACUAAGGUAUAGACUAUUUGUGUAUAUACUGCCAAUGCUUUUUAUUGUCGAUGAACUUCCGGUACUCAUUUAAAGAACAAACUGUCGAUUGGGUGUUUGAUUUUCAUGAUUCAGAGAAUAGAGUGGUCCCACUGCUCUUAAUCUUAGAA